AUGCAAGUCGAACGCAGUAGCAAUACUGAGUGGCAGACGGGUGAGUAUAAUGUGGGUAUCUGCCUUUUGGUUUGGAAUAACACGGGGAAACUUGUGCUAAUACCGAAUAAGCCCUUACGGGGAAAGUUUUAACGCCGAAAGAUGAGCCCGCACUUGAUUAGCUAGUUGGUAAGGUAAAAGCUUACCAAGGCAACGAUCAAUAGCUGUUCUUAGAGGAAGACCAGCCACAUUGGGACUGAGACACGGCCCAGACUCCUACGGGAGGCAGCAGUGGGGAAUCUUGCACAAUGGGGGAAACCCUGAUGCAGCGAUGCCGCGUGAGUGAAGAAGGCCCUUGGGUUGUAAAACUCUUUCGUCGGGGAAGAAAAUGACUGUACCCGAAUAAGAAGGUCCGGCUAACUUCGUGCCAGCAGCCGCGGUAAUACGAAGGGACCUAGCGUAGUUCGGAAUUACUGGGCUUAAAGAGCUCGUAGGUGGUUAAAAAAGUUGAUGGUGAAAUCCCAAGGCUUAACCUUGGAACUGCCAUCAAAACUUUUUAGCUAGAGUGUGAUAGAGGUAAGUGGAAUUUCUAGUGUAGAGGUGAAAUUCGUAGAUAUUAGAAAGAACACCAAAUGCGAAGGCAACUUACUGGGUCACUACUGACACUGAGGAGCGAAAGCAUGGGUAGCGAAGAGGAUUAGAUACCCUCGUAGUCCAUGCCGUAAACGAUGUGUGCUAGACGUUGGAAAUAUAUUUUUCAGUGUCGCAGCGAAAGCAUUAAGCACACCGCCUGGGGAGUACGACCGCAAGGUUAAAACUCAAAUGAAUUGACGGGGACCCGCACAAGCAGUGGAGCAUGUGGUUUAAUUCGAAGAUACGCGCAGAACCUUACCAACACUUGACAUGUUCGUCGCGAGACUAA
rnacentral:rRNA from 1 species